AUCGAGGCUAGGGUCCCACUUGGGUAUCAGCUGUUGCCUUAGUGUGCUAGAGUCCUUGAAGAAGUAACUGCUGACCUUAUUCACUGACUGUGACCCUUAUGGCAUAGUCAGUCACCAGGUUAGUAACAUAC